rnacentral:rRNA from 2 species
UUGACCUCGGAUCAGGUAGGAAUACCCGCUGAACUUAAGCAUAUCAAUAAGCGGAGGAAGA